rnacentral:rRNA from 1 species
UACGUAGGGACCAAGCGUUGUUCGGAAUUACUGGGCGUAAAGGGCUCGUAGGCGGCCAACUAAGUCAGACGUGAAAUCCCUCGGCUUAACCGGGGAACUGCAUCUGAUACUGGAUGGCUUGAGUUCGGGAGAGGGAUGCGGAAUUCCCGGUGUAGCGGUGGAAUGCGUAGAGAUCGGGAAGAACAUCAGUGGCGAAGGCGGCCUGCUGGGCUGUUGCUGACGCUGAGCUGCGACAGCGUGGGGAGCAAACAGGAUUGAG